rnacentral:rRNA from 1 species
UGGGGAAUAUUGCACAAUGGGCGCAAGCCUGAUGCAGCCAUGCCGCGUGUGUGAAGAAGGCCUUCGGGUUGUAAAGCACUUUCAGCGGGGAGGAAGGCGAUAAGGUUAAUAACCUUGUCGAUUGACGUUACCCGCAGAAGAAGCACCGGCUAACUCCGUGCCAGCAGCCGCGGUAAUACGGAGGGUGCAAGCGUUAAUCGGAAUUACUGGGGGUAAAGCGCACGCAGGCGGUCUGUCAAGUCGUAUGUGAAAUCCCCGGGCUCAACCUGGGAACUGCAUUCGAAACUGGCAGGCUAGAGUCUUGUAGAGGGGGGUAGAAUUCCAGGUGUAGCGGUGAAAUGCGUAGAGAUCUGGAGGAAUACCGGUGGCGAAGGCGGCCCCCUGGACGAAAACUGACGCUCAGGUGCGAAAGCGUGGGGAGCAAACAGG